UAUUCUCCACAAUCAAGUUUUCCGGUUGUAGCUUAGCAAAACAGCGAAGAGGAUUCCCACCUGCAGAUAAGCCUAUGAAAAUGGCUUAUAAACCUUAGGAAGACUGAAAGUGCAUCUCCAGGAAAUAACAGACAACGGAGCAGGACAACAGGCUACAGAAAUUGCGACCUAGGAAGCUUUAAUUCUACGGGCUUGCUGAUUGUUUUCUCUAUCAAGGCUCGUUGGAUGGCCGGCAAAUCCAAUGGAUAAAAUCAGGUAAGUAUGGACCAGAUCAGAAGACAACAGAUUCGACUCGCGAGAGAGAGGCGGUUUGCACAUCAAGAAUGAAGCACACGGAAGCAGGAUCUAUAUUUCAAAGGUCGAUCACAUGGGUGGCUCGCCAGUCCGCGCGCCGCUGUAGCUCUCCAGGGAAGGCAAGCAGGGCGGACGAAUCCAGGAUCCAGCACAGCAGUUCAAAUCCAACAACAAAAAAA